GUACAUGGGUAUAUAUAUUCCACAAAGUGAUUACAUAAUCUUAGUAAUAUUUAUGGUGAACACAGAGUGGCGGAGAGUAACUCGCAGGUUUGCAGAGUAUGCAAGAUGUUUAGUUAGGCAUAUAUAUGUAGAUACAUAUACACUGCAUAUAUUGUUUACAUUGGAAAAGGCACACGUAACAAAUUUACACGAACUGCAGCUGACUCAAGUAAUCCAAGCUGUGGUUUUUCUCCUAUGACUGAUUAAGCGAUGGAUAAUUUGCAGUAGCAAAUGUGGUUGUAUAUGCCCUUGCUUCUUUUCCUGGUUUUAAAGCAAAGAAAUAAGAAAAGUAAAUAUUUUGAAGGCAGAUUGCAAAUCUGAUUAUACAAUAAAAGAAAAGGCUGUUAGAGAAGGAGAAGGAAUGCAAGCAAGGAACUGAUUCAGCGCUCCUAAAACAAUACAACAAAAAUAUUGAUGUAUCGGUGGAAAAAAUACGAUUAAACAGGAGUAUAAUUAACACAGUAAUUUCUAAAUAAAACUGACAAACAUACAGAUGUAUCGGUGGCACGCACCUGGCCGCUGGGUGCUCUCAGCUCUCGAAUCUCGAUAGCUAUUGCUUUUCUUUCUAAUUUUCUUCUUCUGACAAAAAAACAAAAAAACGGAUCAUCAUCUAAUCUAUUCUGAUCGCGGCACCCACCCCACCCACGGCCGGGUCACUCUCUUCCCCUCCCCAUUCUCCUUCGAGCUAGGGUUAGGGUUUGCUUCGCGUUCCCUGGGAAAUUGAUCUAAUCGGUCCUCACCGAUCCAUCCGUUCAUCGAUUAAGUUUCCACCACCUCUCGACAUCAUCAAUCUCGCCGCCUCUAUUUCAUUUCCUUUUUUUCUUUUCUUGAUGAGAUAGAGAGUGGGAAGUAAUAAAAGGGAAAAGCUAGCAAGGGGAUUUCUUGAUCCCAUCAUCGUGCUGCAAAUCCUUUAAAUUCGAACAAGGAGGAGGAGGAAGAAGAAGAGAGCAAGCCCAUGGAUCCCAGCCAGAUGAUGUUCCCCAUCUGGGGGGCGCCCCCUCCCGUCGCCUUGCAGCCACCCUCCGAGGACCACGCCGCCGCCCCCAGCGCGCAGGCGCAGCCCUUCCUCGCCCCUCCCAAUCCCAACCGUGGCUGGAAGCGCAAGAAUCCCGCCGCCGCCUACCAGCCACCGGCCCUCGGCGAUCUCCAGGUGCAGAACCGCGCCAAGGCUCGCCGCUGGUUCAAGAACAACAACAACGGUGGCGGCGGCGGCAACCCCAACCCCAACCAAACCCGCAAGUAUUUCUUCCCCAAGAACAAAAACAACAAGGCCGCCGCGCCGCGCAACACCACCUCCUUCAUCAUCCGGGCCAAGCGCGCUGGCGGCAUUGCCUCCCUCGUCUCCCCGUGUCCCGUCACGCCCGCCGUGCUCCCCACCCCGCGCCUCUCCCCUUCCCGCGAGGGUCUCGCUGACAUGGCCCAGGCGCAGUGGGGCGUAGAUGGGUACGGCUCCAUGAAGGGCCUCAUCCGCCUACGUAGCUCCCCCCAGCCAGCCAACCCCAACGCUGCCGCAUCUGAUGACGAUGACGAGGGGAACUCAAGUGGAAGCGAUGUCGAGGAGCACGUCGAGGUGGAGCGACGCCUUGACCAUGACCUCAGCCGCUUUGAGAUGGUGUACCCUGGUAGAGGGGAGGAUGCUGGGGGCUACGUAUUGGAGGACGAGGACGAGUAUGACCAGGAUGCGCAUGUCGCUCGCCUCGAGGAGGAGAACCUGACUCUAAAGGAGAGGCUCUUCUUGAUGGAGCAAGAGGUUGGUGACAUGAGGCGCCGCCUAGAGGUUCUUGAG
rnacentral:lncRNA from 1 species